GAUGUGUGUAUUGCUUCUUGUUAAUGUGCGUAUUACUAACAUGAAAAUGCUUGUUUCUAUGUAUGUUGCUGAAAACAUGUGUUAUUUUCUAGAUAUACAAAUAUUGAUAAUGAGACUCUAUGCGUAUUACUAACAUGAAAAUGCUUGUUAACAGGACUUUGUGCUGGUGUGAGAAUUCUGCCACAGCCUUAGGCCCCCAUUUU
rnacentral:lncRNA from 1 species